rnacentral:lncRNA from 1 species
AAAUCACGCUUGACAUACAUCAAUAAUAUGAGUAUCUGUAAUGUACUUAUUGCAUUUUUCAAUGGUUUGCAACCAUAUAAAAUCAUUUAACUUCAUAAAGCAAUGAUACACAUUAGUCCAAUUGUGUAAGCAUCUAAUAUAUUUUUUAUCUUCAUCUCUGUAAUAUAAAAUAUAGAUUAUUUAUAUAUUUAUCUUUUCAUUUAAAGUUUAAAAAAGAUAUUUAGGAUUUUGAUAGAAUAUUGUUUAGUAUUAUUAUGGAUAUGUUCAUACUGUGGAUCCGGCAGACGAUUAAGACAGGCGUUAGCCUAUUGCGGUUUUGUGAUUGUUGCGCAGGUAAGCAUGGCAAAGUGAGAGUCAUUCCAACACAAAUAGAGACAGACAACCACAAUUAAUGUAAACAUGAAAACUUUAUUGAGAGAGAAAUGAAUAGACAUUUUCCUCUAUGGAGGAUAAAUACCUGUGUAACUGGUGUACAAAGAAAAUCUGUUCAUAAGAAAAUCCACAAGGAUGUCUCCUCUUUUCGUCCUUCUCUAUUUUUUCUUGAAUUAUAUUAAAGACAAUCUUUAGUCCAAUAAAAUGGAACACACUCUUUACUCCAUAUGAGGGUCACAGAAAUAUGAAUGGAGAUUGUUGCACUGGAGCAAUUUAGUAUUUUUCAUCUUCUCCCUAGAAGUUUCUGUCUGUUUUUCCCAUCUCCUCUUCUGAUCGAUUCCUUGCGAAAUGUCGCAACCUACUCGGUUGAUUUUUGUCCAACUGCUCCUUCUGAAUCGGUUCUCCUCCUCCUCGAUUGGUUGCAAAACUCUUCUCUUCCCUUUUCAGAAAGAUGAUGAUCUGAUUACAUUCCUUUAUUUAUUUAUUUAUUUUUUCCUUUUUCCCACCACCUGCGUGUCCUUCGGUUCACCAGUUGACCAUUCU